UCUCCGUUGGUGAACCAGGCGGAGGGACAUUACCGAGUUAUACAACUCCCAAACCCACUGUGAACCUUACCUCAGUUGCCUCGGCGGGAACGCCCCGGCCGCCUGCCCCCGCGCCGGCGCCGGACCCAGGCGCCCGCCGCAGGGACCCCAAACUCUCUUGCAUUACGCCCAGCGGGCGGAAUUUCUUCUCUGAGUUGCACAAGCAAAAACAAAUGAAUCAAAACUUUCAACAACGGAUCUCUUGGUUCUGGCAUCGAUGAAGAACGCAGCGAAAUGCGAUAAGUAAUGUGAAUUGCAGAAUUCAGUGAAUCAUCGAAUCUUUGAACGCACAUUGCGCCCGCCAGCAUUCUGGCGGGCAUGCCUGUUCGAGCGUCAUUUCAACCCUCGAGCCCCCCCGGGGGCCUCGGUGUUGGGGGACGGCACACCAGCCGCCCCCGAAAUGCAGUGGCGACCCCGCCGCAGCCUCCCCUGCGUAGUAGCACACACCUCGCACCGGAGCGCGGAGGCGGUCACGCCGUAAAACGCCCAACUUUCUUAGAGUUGACCUCGGAUCAGGUAGGAAUACCCGCUGAACUUAA
rnacentral:rRNA from 1 species